GCGUAUUGUAGCCUGCUAUACUACGACCCAUGUGUCCAGUAAAUAAAGAAAGUCAAAGGUAUACUUUCUUCCUCCUGCCGUUUCUUCCCUCAUCUCCCAAAAAUGGACAUCUUCAGCCAUGGCAAAGAUUGAUUCAGGAAUCCGCCGGGGUGUGUCGCCCAGUCGCCGUUAGUUCCAAUCCCACGCGCGGCGCCGACUGCCCUCCCUCUCCCCACUCGCCGUUCCCACAAAAUGAAACCCUCGAUCCAACCACUGGUCAUACAUUCUGUUCCCAGUCCUUCAAUUUCUCAGCGAUAAAUCUUACAAAGCAACCACUAUGGGAUACAUCAGAUGUGCAAUGAGGUGAUGUAUGUGUGGUGUAGAGAUGGAUGGUAGAGGAGUCGUCAAGGAGACUGUUUUAGCUGAAUUGAUGCACAUUCAAUUAUAUUAUGGUCAUGUCAGAGCUAUGAGACAGAUUAGGGCAUGAGUCGUGAGAUCAAAAAUGCGGUUACUUAGUAAACUGAAGCAGGUCUGCAAGAUAGGAUCCUUGCUUGAUGUCACAUGUGGACUCAUUAGUGAUGUUGAGCGGGAUGUGAAAUCUUGAAUGUGCAGUUCUUCCCCCAGGUCUAUGUACAAUUUUAUCGAUGUCAGUUGAGUCUGGGAACACGACCAUUUGCUCAUCCUGAAGGUGGAAUUGCAGUCUCUGUACAGAAGGUUGCCAGUGCUGAAGUUCAAAUCCAAAGAUACGCCAAGAUGCUUCACCUGCGGAUAGGUAUCGUGCAUCAAGGAAGUCCAACAUGAUCUGUAUUUCUGGCCACUUUGGGUUGCAUGUGAAAGUGAUAAACAGAUCUGGAUAUCCAGCCCACCGACAUAUGGCCAUUGCAUCCUGGUAGUACUGCUGUUUAUUCCUCGGACUUCCAUUAUAUGAUGAAGCCUCCAUUGCUCAAUGCAUGUUGCUGCGUCUAGGAUGAACUGAAGGAACAACUUGCCACUCGUUUGCAAGACUACUGACUGGUUCAGUCGCUGCUGGAUACGAUAUGCAUAAUACUCCAUCAUGGUAACAUACUUUCUCUUUCCUUCAACAUCUUUUUUUUUUUCUAAUUCUAUUUCUGGUCUGAAUCCAUCUUCUCCGUACGGGAAUAAUAACGGGUAUUGCAUAGACAUAAAGCUUGGAUGUAGUUCUGAAAUUCGCUGGAGUUGUCUGUCUUUGUUUUCUACUAUUAUAUCACGUUCAACAUUUUCUCCUGUCUGUUCCCCAAUAAUGAGUGCAGCUAUUUCAGAUGCAUUUGGUAGGUUGUAUUGUCUUCCAUCACUGGAUCUUGUACCAAUUAAUCGCAAUCUAACAUUUUCGAGAUCUGACUCUUGGUAUCUAUCCCUUGCCAUACGGAAUGAUUUCACUAACUCAUUGUGCUCAUCAAGCAUCUGCAAUAAUCCAGACACAAUGCCUUCAUCAAGUUGUGUUUUCCUUUCCUUUGAGGUUGAAGCUUGCAUUCUAUUCCUGACCUCAUUUUCUGUAUCAUAAAUGUACAAUUGAGCAAACUUUGGCCUGAGAGCAUUAUCUCCAUUAUCUUUAGGUAGCAACGUGCCAAUUUGAUGAUAGUUUUGGCCAUUCAAGCGAAAAACAUACGGUGCACCCCCUUUUUUGUUUAUCUCGUAGUCUACCUGGCCACCCAUCGAAGUAAAUGCAAACAUUGGAUUAUAAUUCCUGAUAUUAUCUCUGUAAUUUGAUGGUUCUCCCUUCUCAUUAGAUGUUAGUAGCUGCUGAAGGUAUGCUGGAGGUUUUUUCAAUGGUGGCAGUUUGACUUUGCCUUCCUUGCAACAAAGUCCAAAUGUUGGUCUUGAUUUAUUUGUGUUAUGCUUGCUUCUCUCUUGAUGCCACAUUAUAGCAUUGCAGAAUGGACAUACGCAUGUUGGUUUUCCAAAAUUUGAAACCUCACUUGGAGAGCUUUGGGAUUUACCUCAUUUUUUCAUCGCCUGUAACUUCUUUCUAUUUGCUCGAUUCAACUUGCUUAUCUCUUUUCUUCUAAUCAAAUCGAUAUCUACCGAGCCUCUAGCAAAAUUUGAUGCUUCUAAAGCAUGUUCACUAGCUGUUGUACUCAAAGCAAUCUCAGUUUCAUAAUUUUGUUUUCUUUGAACCAACCUUGCAUGCUUGUUGGUGUGAUUUCCAUGGACUAUCUGUUUCCUCUUUCUUGGUUUUUGUUUAUUUGGACCCGUUGAAAUCCUGUAACAAAUAUAUUUGGCAGUUGUUAGUUCAUUAUAUCAGGCACGGGCUAGCGGCCAUGAUUAUGUUGUUAAAGCACCUUUCUUGCUCUUUGUUUAUUGUAGCAUGAUCAUUGGGUAUUCCCUGAAAAUAAAAAUAGUUAAACUUGAUCUGCAUAGCACACUAAAAGGAAUUUGAAGAGAUAACAAAUAAGUGAUUACCAUUUUCCUCUCCUGGCAAGCUACAACGGCAGUGGAUGUAUAUGCGCAUGUGAAUAGCCUGUAAUAUAUUUAUUUCACCAUCAGUUAUUUUUAUAGGUACAUGUAUUGAGCUAUUUUCUUGUUUAUUAAUAACUAAUAAUAUAUAAUGCAAGCCAGUACCUUUCAUUCUGAUGGUGUAGGCUGUCUUGUUGGGCAUGAAUAUCCGACUGGUUACCCAUCUCGCUUAAUAACUUUGGACGCUUUCUAUUUUUUGUUUGGUUUGGAGAUUGGCUUUGCUUUGUCCUAGCUUGUCUCCGUUCAUUUUUUCAUAUAUUAUUCGCAUUAUAAUGUAAUGUAUUUUAAUGUUAGACUGUACAUGUGCUCGAGGCAAUAAAUUGUGUCAUAACAUACCGUUUGUUGCCUUCCACUCUAAUUUGCUGAAAAUUUGAUUCGGAUAGUCAGGUCAAUAUAUUCAAGGGUGCAUGGAAACAUUGUUAUAAGAAUAGGAUAGAAGUGUUGUAGUCAAGUUUGUACCUUGUUUUCGUCAGGUAAUUUGUCUUUUUUGCCCAAGAUGAUACCCCUGCAAGUGGUAUGUACUCUUAUUAGAAAUAUUUUAAAUAUAAACUCAAAUUGGUUUUGCUGCAAGGCACUAUCUGAACCCUUUACUUCAAAUAUGGGAAGGAAAUAGCUGGCAUAUUGCUAAAAAUCAUAUGUUGAACACCACUAUCUGCAAUAUCCAUGGUCACCAUUAUCUAUUCUACCUUCGAUCGUUUUUAUCCCCCUUUUGGAUCACAGGCACAUGAUUAUUCGACAUGGUGGCCGGGGGUAGUGCUUAUGGAUUUGUCAAUUUCAGAUUGAUCCUCUGAAAUAACAGAUGUCUUCUGUGUCUUCUCCGCACCUAAUGAAGGUUUCAGUAAUAUCAUAGAAUUUAAUACUUAGAGAAACAACAUCAUCAAGAGUAAGCAUGAACUAAUAUGCUAAUAAGUCAAUCCUACCUCUUUUUUCUCUUUAUUCCGUGUCUUUGGAAGCUCUGGAUCGUUUUGAGACACGGAAGCUCCGGAUCGUUCAUGUGUAAAAAUCAUGUGUAUGCAUGCCCUUAUGUAAAGGCAGUUGUGUUCGAGUUGGACUCUGCAAGUCUUGUUUAUUCUGGACUGUAUAUGUAUAAAUAAAUAAUAUAAUACCAAGCCGUGUCCCAUGGUCAUGUGUAAGUCUCCGAGUCCAGCACGUGAACUUCUAUAAUAGAAACAGCCUGCUCGUACUUUUGUAGAUAUAUUCUGGUGGCACACAAUUAUAUUAUUUUUCUAGUUUGAUUAGCCGGCCGCAUAAAAUGUAGUAUCUUAUUAGUGAAUGAUUUUUUAAUAUGUUAAUUUGUACGUGUGGCAUUGUUUUUUUCAUGUUACUACCUUCUGUUAGAUCAAAAUAUCAGCUAACUGGUACGUAUAAUUAGUCAUACUUCCCUCGAGAUUGUGUUUCCUCCGUUGGGAAAAUGUUAUAUAUACCCUUGUUUAUAAAAAGUGUAUUCAUCUUUGACUAUUUGUCAUGAUUGUAAACAUUCAUGUUAAGAAACUUUCGGAAAAAUGAAAUCAGUGAUAUGAAAAAGCAAACUUUUAGCACUAACUCGUCUUCACACAGAGUCAAAAAGGUAUUGCAAGUAGGAAAUAUUGGGUAAGCGGCAUGUGACUCUGUUGUUUGCCCACUCUUGGGUUGCAAACAUGGGUCUAACUGUAGGAAUUUAUGCUAAAAUAAGUUGGGUGAAUUACAAAUCGAGCAGGUAGCGGUCUCGUCCUGCCUCCCCGCAUCAUCCUGUUCUGUCGCCCUCGCCUUUGUAGGGAGACAUUUUUAUAUGCCAUUGUAGGGGGCCAUUUUUACACUGGACAUUUUUACACUGGACGACAAAACCUGAGAUAGGCUCUCUCCUAUUCUUUACACUACCUCCUCGUUGAGUACAACAAUAUAGUGGUUACCAAUUUCAUACAUGAGUUUAUUAAGAAACUAUUUUUUUAACUGAAAUUAAUUAAUGGUUGAUAACUGUCUCAACUUGAUUCAUGCAUGACCAGGAAGUAUAUGCAGGAAUAUUCAGUUAUAUAACAUGAUAGAAAAAAUAUAUAUGAAAAUAUAACAUAGUACUGUCUGUGUCGUCAAGUACUAAAGAUCUAUAGUUUGUAUUCUAACAAUCGAAUUCUAAAUAUCACAAAUUAUUUCUUCCUCCCCCGUCGUGAUCUGCAAGGUUGUUGUUCAUCACCCAGGCAUUGUGCACGCUUUCGUGCUUUUUUUUGGGCGUUGAAUUGCUCUUCCGAGUCUUCAUCGUCGUCAAGAACAACAAAUUGUCUUUUAAUUCUUGUACUCCUUCGUAACACUUUGUAUUCUUCUUCUUCAUCAUCACCACUAUCUUUGUGUAUAUCAUCUUGAGUAUCUUCUUUUGGUUCCUUUUUAAUGAUGACACCUUUUGGAAUUUUCUUCAAGUUACCCUACAUAUAAUAAGAGAAUUAGUCCAAUUUGUUUGUCUUGAAAUAUGGUUUUUUGAAUGAGGAACUCCAUAUAUUUUUUGAAAACCUCGUCAUCUAUUGAAGUAUCAAGUGCCAUAGUUAUCUGCUCGUCAGAAUCUUCAUAGCGUUUCAGCUUUCUCCUAAUCGUGCUUUUAUUUUUGCAUCUUCCAUUGUUGUUUUUAUCAUGUAUCUGAACAGAUCGGCUCUCUUCAUCUGCCUCGUGUUUAGUUACACCAUCUUUUGGAAAAUUCUUCGGCUUACUCUACAAAAGCAUCAGAAGAUCAGUUUAGUUCCAUUGUGUCUAAAAUAUAGUAUAUUUUGAAAUAGAUGAUGCAUAAGGGAGUGUAAACUAUAGAUAAUUAGGAAUGUUGUUACUGUUCAUUUUGUUUCAAUAUUUUAUGCAAGUAUUAACUCUGAGAAAUAUAAUAGAGUGUAGAAAAAUCAGUAAAUAUCAUACCGUUCCAUUGUUGCCACUCUCAAUAGAUUCCAGAAAGAACAGUCUUGAGACUGUGUAGUCCGGUCUACAACUGGUGAAAUUGUAGUCUGUCAAUCUAAACUGAAAAAUUACAGUCUGACCACAAAUAUCUUGGAUUGGUUUUGGAAGCUCAUCACUUUCAUUACAAAUUGAUGCAACCAUGUUUUCUGCUGACUCAUGAAUUAAUUGUUGGGCUUCUUUUUCAAAAAGAACGCAAGAUGCAGAUGCUGUCGAGUCACUGAUUUCAAGCUUAAUCUUAUAUCUGCAAAAUAUGUAGUGAAUUAAUUUAAAAAUUAUUCUAUUAAAACUAUUAAGAUAGAGAUCUGUUAAACUCUUUACCGUGGUUUGGGUUGAGCUUUCCUAUCGCAUUUGCUACAAUAGUAGUAAUCAAUUCUCUUUUCAAGUAGCUUCUUGCAAUUAUUUUCACUGCAUGAUAUGUAGUACCAACCAUAUAUCUUGUAUUAACAUCAUUAAUUACUGCUUCCACGGUAAAUAUCCUUCCCUGUAGAGUAAAUAUAAAUAUAUUUAUGCUUUCUAAGUGGGAAAAAACAAUUCAUCAUUAUCUCUGGAUUACAAACCUGAUUUGAUGAGUUUAACAGAAUGCCAUUUAACUCUUCUAAAGUUUUUCUAUUGUAGCGCAUUUGCUCUUCCAGUGUCCCUUUUAGAUGGUUCUCCUCAACAUGUAGUUCUUUGAUAAUUGUUUCUUUGGAACAAAUGCUAUUUGGAGACAAAAAGUUAUGAGCCAGGGUAAGUACUACUGACAUUGACGUUAAAAGGGCAAUAUUUGUAGGAAUUUCGCUUACCUGUUUUGUACAUCCAUAGUCUCAGGAAUAUCUAAAUUUAUAAAAACUUGAGUUGCACUAUUUGACGAUAGAGAAUAUCCUGCAUAGUGGUUGAAAUAAUCAUUUUCCUAUGUAAACCAAGCAGAGAGAUAAUAAAAUAAGUGAUUAAAAUUUGAAAGAAGACAUACUGCCAAAUUUCCUCACUGUUGUUGAUGUAAUUAUAAUGACAUUCCCUAUUGACUUGACAUCAAUUAGAUCAGCUUUGUCACCCCAUAAUCUAACUUUGACUUCCUGGUCUCUGUCAACAGAAAGUAAAAUGUGAAGACAUGACAUGAGCACCUUCGCUGCGAAUAAGAUGUAUUUUUUGGCUUACUCGAUUAGAAGGAAAAUAUCACGGAUUCUGGAGGGCCCAAGAUAUGUUCUAGUUUCUUCAAUUUGUCCUAUGUGUGUUGCAACUCCAAUAACAUCUGUUAGCACAUGAAUUUAGAUGGCAUUUUAUAUAUGCCAUGAAAAAAUGGCAUAUUGUAUCUUAAAAGUUCAUUGAUGUCAUACCUGAGAGAUAAGUGUCAAUGCUUACUCUUUGGGAGAGUACCUCCAUGCUUGAAAAGUUGAAACCAUGCUUUGGAAUGUCUCCAUUAUCUUCAAUCUUCUCUAUACUUGUUGUGGGUGAGAAGUUGAUCAUCAUCUCAUUUUGUACAGGUCGAAAUUUUGCUGCUGCUGGAAUGACUCUCACAUUUUUAAUGAGGAGAGCUUUUUGUCCAAACCUUUGUGAUUAGACCCAAUCGGACAGGACGGCGGCCCGUUUGAGAUGGGAGCGAGGGAAGGUGCUAUCCGUUGCAGACGUGUGUGUGUGUGUGUAUAUAUAUAUAUAUAUAGGGAUUGACUAUUCGUCACCCUGGGUGAGGGAUAGUUAUUCUUCACCCCCUCUAUUUUAACAUCUAUGCACCGUAAUUUUAUGUUUCAUAAGUUUUUGUUUUAUUUCAUACGUAAUAAGAGAGUGUAAGAAAAUAUGUAAUCACUGUAAAAAAUAUUUUAUGUUACGUAAAAUUAUAGACGUAAAAAUAUAGUGUAAAAUAUACAUAAAAUGCAA